AUGCAUUUAGAUUUCUUGAAUUACUGUUUCGUGAGUGAAUUAACCAGGAGCUAUAUGUAUCAAUCCUUUCCAGAUAACAUAGGCAAUGAGACUACAGAGAAAGACCUGCUACAGACCAGUUACAACACUAUGACUGAAGAGAGAGACCAGCUACAGACCAGUUACAACACCCUGACUAAAGAGAGAGACCAGCUACAGACCAGGUACAACACCCUGACUAAAGAGAGAGACCAGCUACAGACCAGUUACAACACCCUGACUAAAGAGAGAGACCGGCAACAGAAGGAGAGAGAUGAUCUUAUGACAAAGUUCUCAAAUCUGAAACAAACCUGUCCUGAAGACUGGCAGAAGUUUGAAUCCAGUUGGUACUUCCUGUCUACUGUGAAAAAACCCUGGGGGGAGAGAAGACAGUAGUGUCUGAUGAGAGGAGCAGACCUGGUGAUGUAAACAGUGAUAAGGAACAGGUGAGAGAAUCAAACAUCUCUUGGUGAGUAGUGUAUCUUCCAGUAUUUAACACAUGUAGUCUAUAGUAGUUGACAAUAUCAGUAUCUUUCUCACCAACAGGAGUUUCUCUUCAACCUCCACCUGAGCGCCUGGAUUGGUCUGACUGACUGUUACUGAGGGGGCCUGGAAGUGGGUGGACGGCACCCCACUGACCACAGGGUGAGAGAUUUGACCAUUUUACCUUGUGAUAUGGAAAUAAAAAACAACAAUGAUAUAUUGCUUCCAAUCAUGUUCAUAAAAAGUAUUGUUUCCACUCAGAAAUGUCAUUCUACAUGAACUAAAGAUAUAUCUUAAAAUGUAAUUAAAAAAAUACACAUUGACCCCUUUUUGUUGUUUUUCACUGGACUCUUUUUCACUGACU
rnacentral:lncRNA from 1 species